AACGAACGCUGGCGGCAUGCCUAACACAUGCAAGUCGAACGAGACCUUCGGGUCUAGUGGCGCACGGGUGCGUAACGCGUGGGAACCUGCCCUUAGGUUCGGAAUAACUCCCCGAAAGGGGUGCUAAUACCGGAUAAUGUCUUCGGACCAAAGAUUUAUCGCCUUUGGAUGGGCCCGCGUUGGAUUAGCUAGUUGGUAGGGUAAAAGCCUACCACGGCGACGAUCCAUAGCUGGUCUGAGAGGAUGAUCAGCCACACUGGGACUGAGACACAGCCCAGACUCCUACGGGAGGCAGGAGUGGGGAAUAUUGGACAAUGGGCGAAAGCCUGAUCCAGCAAUGCCGCGUGAGUGAUGAAGGCCUUAGGGUUGUAAAGCUCUUUUACCCGGGAUGAUAAUGACAGUACCGGGAGAAUAAGCUCCGGCUAACUCCGUG
rnacentral:rRNA from 1 species